UUCCGUUUCUAUUGGGAAUGAUGAUACAAGCGGAAAGGUGUUAAAGCAUUGCUUAAAAUAUUUAUAGGGGCAAAGAGCAAUUGCAGCAGUUUAGCCAUGUAAAUAAGUAAGAACUUGACCAGUAUGUAAAGUUCACAAAGUAGCUAGAAGAACUCCAGAGAAGGCAUUAGUCGAAUGUAGCCACUAUAAAAAUUUCCACAAACAAAUUAAUUUAUAAAAAAGCAGUGGAUAAGGAGUUAAGCAUACAUUAAUUUGUUUUUAGAAGAUACAGCGAAAUUUCCAUAUUGGCUACUAUUCCACUAAUGGUUUCUUUCCACAAUUCCCAAUAUUAAGAUCUAUUGAAAACUAAGCAAACAUUAAAUUGCUUGUGGAAUUUACAUAAGUCAAUAUAACAGCAGUUGAACUGGAUGCAGUUUGGGUGGAGAAAAAUGGUUUCUGUUCCUAAUUCCCAUUAUUAUGUUCUAUUGAAAAUUAAACAUACAUUAAUUUGUUUCUGGAAAUUUACAUAAGUCAAUAUAAUAGUAGCUGAACUGGAUGCAGUUUGGGUGGAGAAGUAGUGAGCGCUGGUUUUGGUGGAGAUGUUGGCAUUAAAGAGGUACUAAAUAACUACAACUUUAAAUCAAAAGAAAGAGUUUGUGCUAAUAUUUGCCAUGCAUAACUUCAACUUUAAAUCAAACUAAUGCUUACAAAUGGCAUGCAUCCAUAUCCACCACGUCGCAUACUACAUCACUCUUAUAAAUCUUUCUAAUGGAGAAAGGAACACGACAUUAUUCGCAUUUUUGUCCCUUUCUUAAUCUACUAUAUUUUGCAAGGUGCUGGAUAUUUUUCUGUUGAAAGUCCUAUCAGAUCGAUUAGCGCCUUUAAAAUUAUGUUCUCACUAUUGUUGAUAUCAAUUAUCACGUUGCACACCUUAUCUUUGAUGGUGCCACGUGUUCUGAAAUCUUAUUGCACUAAUUAUCCUCUUCAAAUCUUGGUGCUAAUAAAAUCUUCUACAUAGUGUAAUUCAACAUCUCUCCUUCAUGUACCUCUAACUCUAAAGCUUCUUCAUCAUCCUCAUCCGCAACAUUAUUCAUCUCUGCUUAGCCAUAGCGUUUAUUUUCUCUCUUUCAAAUAUCAAAUAAUGGUUAAUAUUUUCUUCAGGAUUAUCUUUUCUUUCUUGCUUGUGAUGCUGCUGCUGCUGCUGCUCAUGAAUGAUAAAGUGGCGCUAGGGCAAGAUGGGGAUCCCGUGGGAUCAAUACAAGGAGGAGGAGGAAGAGAAAUGGUGCCUGCCUUGUUCAUUUUUGGAGAUUCACUUAUCGAUAAUGGCAACAAUAACAAUCUUCCUUCUUUUGCCAAAGCAAAUUAUUACCCCUAUGGUAUCGAUUUCAAUGGUGGCCCAACUGGCCGCUUUUCUAAUGGCCACACCAUGGUCGAUGAAAUUGCUAACUCUCUUUAUCUAUGCAUUUGAUUUAUAUUUUUAUAAUUUUUUUUCCUUUUCAAAAUCCUGAAGGUACAUGAAAAUUUAUAUACACCAUGAUUGCAUGCAAUGCAGGGUAUUUUAAUUGCUGAUCUGACGAAUUAUUAUGAUUACUUCUUUGCUAGCAAAAAAAAAAGAAGCAUAAAACAGAUGUCAUUUUUAGAUUUUUCUUCUUUGUAAAUUUGUGUCACACUCUUGAGCAUAGUUAGAAAUAUCUGUGAAGUGAGUUUCAUAGUCAUGGCUUCAAUGACACAUAUCCAAAUUCAUUACAAUUAAUUAAUUGAUUUCCUACUUCUAUCCCUUUUAAAAAAAAUUAACAAAAUAAAAGUACUUGUUUAGUUAUCUAUUUCGGGGGGGGGGGGGGGGGGGGGGGGGGGGAAUAUUGGCAUUUAUUGGUCUGGCCCCACCCCUAUAUGUCCCUUUGGGAGGGCUCGCACUGUCCCAUAAUAUUUAUUUCUAAACAAUCACAGUCAUUAUCUUAAAUCAAUAAAAAUAACAGAAAUUUUUUUGUUUUAUUUUUUACAUUUAUUAUAUCUACACCCACUUACACCUAACUCGUAUUAAUCCGCAAGUACGAUCUGUUUGGGGAUAAAUUCACCAUAUCUGGUAGGCGUGUCUUAUUAAUGGCUAAAAGCUUCCAUAUGCAUAACCUCUUUAAAUUGUGUCCGCUUUCAAAGAAAAUUUUCUUUUUUGUCCAUUAGCUUUUAUUUACUCUUCACAAAUAUUUUUAAUGUCAUACUAACCAAAUCUUGUAAAUUCAUCCAUUCAGCUGAACUACUGGGACUUCCUCUGAUUCCUGCAUACUCUGAAGCUUCCGGUGCACAAGUGCUUCACGGAGUCAACUAUGCUUCUGCCACUGCUGGAAUCCUCGACAUCACCGGAAGAAACUUCGUAAGGACUCAUAUAUCUAAUUCAAACGAACCAGGAUUCCCUUUUGAUCUGAAUUUUAAUGAGAGGAUUUUAUAUCUAACACGAGAUAUAUAUUUUUUGUAGGAAUGGGCAGCAAUGACGACCUAAACAAUUAUCUUAUGCCCAAUUACAAUACCAAAAAUCAAUACAAUGCUCAGCAAUAUGCUGAUCUUUUGGUUUCAGAAUACUCAAGACAACUCACAGUAAGAUUCAAUUUCACUAUAUUUACAUUUUUUACCAUAUGCAUGCAUUUUAGUUACUUUAUUUUUUUAGCUUGUAAACAUAUUUAUAUAACUUGUAUUAAGUAUUGAUUGAAAAUCUACAGACCCUUUACAAUUUGGGAGCAAGGAAAUUUGUGUUGGCCGGAUUAGGAAGAAUGGGAUGUAUUCCAAGAAUUUUGGCUCAAAAUCAGAUGGAUCGCUGUUCAGAAAAAGUGAAUCCAACUUGUUAUGCCUUUUAAUGCACAUGUGAAGACUAUGAUUAACAAUCUUAAUGCCAAUCUUCCUGGUGCAAGAUUCACCUUCAUUGACAUUGCCCGCAUGUUUGAAGAUCUCCUCACCAAUUAUAGAUCAUACGGUAUGCAAUUUUCCCACUAAACAUAUCGUAUUGUAGUUAGAUAUGAUGUGUGCUGUCUAGCCUAAAAUCUUUUAUUUUAAAAUGUGCGGACACUGACAAAAGAUAAUAAAGAUUUCGUCCUCGUAUUUUAAAAUCAAGGAACAAUUUACAGUGGCUGAACUAGGAUUUUGAUUUGACAAGCACGGCCUAGAGGUGGAAAUAACGGAGAAAUUAUCGUCUUGCUGUGCUACAAUAAAAGCAAGACAUUUUAAAAUUAAAUUUAAAUAAGUGCAUAAAAUAAGCAAAAUUUUACUUAAUAGAAUAAUGUUUAUGAUCACUUUUUUUUUUAUCCCAAAUAAUUCUACAGGAUUCAGUGUAUUAGAUCGAGGGUGCUGUGGCAUUGGACGAAACGGAGGCCAAAUUACAUGUCUUCCAUUCCAAACACCAUGUGCAAAUCGAGAACAAUACGUUUUCUAGGAUGCAUUUGACCCAACAGAAGCUGUGAACAUUAUGUUUGGAAGAAAAGCUUUCUAUGGUGACCAGAGCGUUGUUUAUCCCAUGAACAUCCAGCAGCUUGCCAGUCUUUAAACUUAGAAAUUAAAGGGACAUAUAUGUUAUUGUAAUGUUUCUUGCUUGCUUAAUUGCUUUGCAUAAUUGUUGGGAUUAUAUGCUUUUUAAAAGCAUAUUAAUUUAUUUUCUGAUUAAUAAAAUAUUUGAGAUAUUUUCAAUUGCAUAAAUAUUUUGAAUAAGGUCCGUUUAAUCAUAUUAUAUGUAUUUAUGUGAUCAUCAUAUGGAUUCACAGAAGAUAUAAAUACAAGUUAUCUUAUGAUUAAAUAAAUUAAGUUCGCAGUUGAUAAAUAGAGUUGGGCGCUCUAUUUAUGUUUAGACUGUAGUUAAUUGUUAUAAGUGAAUAUGAAAUAGUUCACUCAAAGCAAGGAUAAAUGGAUGAAAGUACUACACAUUUUUUUCACAAUGAGGUUGCCUUUUAUAGGCGUUACUUGAACAAACUUAACGAAAUAAUAGCAGCCAUUAUUCAGCAAAUACUGCAGCCACUUUCCAGUAACUAUAGCCUAAAGACUAGGUAAACACAAUCUUGCAAAUAACAUUACCAACAAACUUCCUAAAGACUAGGACCAUAAAAGCAACUUAUUGACACAAGGAAAUUCCAACAAUCCCUCCCUUAAACUAAAUGUUAUUAACAUUCAGUUUAAACAUUCUGCAGAAUCUUCCUCAAAUUGCAAUUUGCAAACUCCAAGUGACUUUCUCAGCUUCAAAAAACUAGCCAAUUUGAGGGGUUUAGUAAAGAUGUCAGCAACUUGGUCUUCACUCCUGCAAUAAACAAGAUCAAUGACUUCAUUUUUUGUCAAGUCUCACAAGAAAUGAUAUCUCACAUCUUUGUGCUUGCAUCUUUCAUGUAGAACCGGAUUCUUUGAAAGUUUAAUUGUUGACCUAUUAUCACAUAAGAUUUGUGUUGACUCUGGUUGCUUAAACUGAAGUUCAUGAAGAAUAUUUCUUAGCCAAAGUGCUUGACAUGCACAAGAAGCUGCUGCAACAAACUCAGCCUUAGUUGUUGACAAAGUAACUAUCGGUUGCUUCUUAGAUGACCAUGAAAUAGCUGCUGAACCAAACAUAAAUACAUAUCCAGAUGUGCUUCUUCUGUCAUCCAAAUCUCUAGCAUAAUCACUGUUUGUAAAGCCAUACAAAUCUGAUUUUUUUACCCUUUUUGUAGAACAACCCAAAUUCAGUAGUACCACGCAAGUAUCGAAGAAUUCUCUUUGCAGCUAAAAGAUGAUCCUCUCUUGGACGCUCCAUAUAUUUGCUGAUGGAACUAACUGCAUGCAUUAUAUCAGGUCGAGUUGCCAUUAAGUACAUCAAGCUUCCAACAAUCUGUUUGUAAAGGGUACUAUCAACUAUUCUUCCUGCAGGAUCCUUAACAAGCUUCAAUCCUUUUUCAAUUGGAGUAGUGACAGAGUUGCAGUUCCUCAUUUGAAAUCUUUCUAAGAUCUCUUCCAUAUAUUUCUUUUGACAAAUAAAUUUUCCAGCAUCAGAUUAUAUGACUUCUAAGCCAAGAAAAUAAUGCAGCAAACCAAGAUCAGUCAUAUCAAAUUCAAGCAUCAUGGAUUCCUUGAAUUUCUCAAACAUUACUCUGUCAUUUCUCGUGUAAAUCAAAUCAUCUACAUAUAAACAUACCAUAAGCAUUUUCCCAUCAUCUCCAAUUUUUGUGUACAGAGUAUGCUCAUAUGAGCAUUUUCGAAAACCUUCCUUCAAGAAAUAAGCAUCUAUAUGACUAUACCAAGCUCGGGGUGCUUGUUUUAUUCCAUAUAGAGCUUUUUUCAAUUUAUAGACUUUAUGCUCACUGCCUAAUUUCACAUAUCCAGGAGGUUGUUCGAUAAAUACCUCUUCUUGUAGCUCCCCAUGCAAGAAUGCUGAUUUCACGUCCAGUUGAAAAACAGGCCAUGAAUUUUGUGCUGCAAGAGCAAUAAUCAAUCUGACCGUUUCAAGUCUUGCAACGGGAGCAAAUACUUCUUUAUAAUCUACGCCGAACUCUUGCUUGUAGCCUUUGGGGACUAGGCGUGCCUUGUAUUUAUCAAUUUCACCAUUUUCCUUCAGUUUUGUCUUGUAAAACCACUUGACUCCUAUUGUCCUCUGCCCCAUUGGAAGUUCAGUCAACUCCCAAGUAUUAUUUUUUUCAAUGGAUACAAUUUCUUCGUCCAUGGCUUUUAGCCAUUCUUGUUCUUUGACAGCUUCUUUAAAAGUUGUAAGAUCACAUUCUAAAAACAAGGCAAAGUGUAUGAGUGGAUUCUCAAGAGUGUUAAAUCUUGUUACCUCAUAAUCUAACGUCCAUGCAGGCCUUCUUCUAUCACGUUGAGAACGUGAAUCUGUAGCUUCAACUUGUUCAUCAAGUUCAUUUGUUGUUGGUGGAGUUUUCUGCUGAGACUCUAUUUUGCGGCAGGUCAGGAGCAAAGACUGUUGAAGGCUGAAGUUACUGUGAAUUUUCUUCAAUUUCACCAUCGAAAUCUGCUAGAAUUUGCUGCCCAACAGAGCUGCAUCUCUACAUCCAUGUCUUCUCUUCAUCAAAAAUGACAUCACGACUAAUGACAAUUUUCUUGAUGAUGGGAUCAUAUAAUUUGUAGGCCUUUGAAUGAUCACUAGCACCAAGAAAAAUGCACUUUACACCUUUGUCAUCUAAUUUUCUUCCUUUCUCAUCUGGUAUGUGGACAUAUGCUAUACAUCCAAAUUCCCGAAAGUGAUCUACUGCCGGCUUACGUCCACUCCAUGCUUCUUCAGGAUUUAUAUUUUGAACAUCUAUUAUGGGGCUUCUGUUCAAAAUAUAAACACUUCAAACAACUGCUUCAGGUCAAAAAAUUUUGGGAAGACCACUCCUCUGCAAAAGGCUUCGUACCAUAUUAAGAAUUGUACGAUUUUUCCUCUCGCAUACACCAUUUUGCUGAGGUGUGUAGGCUGCUGUCAAUUGUCUUCUAAUUCCAUGAUUUUCACAGAAGCUUCCAAAUUCUUGAGAGUUGAACUCUCCACCACGAUCAGUACGCAAUAUUUUAAUUUGGCUGUAAGCUUCUCUUUCAACUAGUGCUUUAAACAUUUGAAAGGCUGUGAAAGCUUCCGAUUUUUCUUGCAAGAAAUAAACCCAGGUUUUUUGACUAAAAUCAUCAAUAAAUGAGAUAAAAUAUCGGUUACCUCCAUUUGAUGUUGGCUUGAUUGGCCCACAUAAGUUAGAAUGCACUAGCUCCAGCACUUUCUUUGCCCUCCAGGAUUUUCCUUUUGGAAAAUUAUCUCGAUGUUGCUUACUGAAAAUACACUCUUCGCAAAGCUGUGAAGGUUGCUCAAAUUGUGGAAGGCCUACCACCAUAUUUUUCUACUGCAAGGCCUUCAAUCCACCAAAACUAAGAUGCCUGUAAUGAAAGUGCCAUAACCAUGCCGUAUCUUUGAAAUUUGCAACAAAACAUGAGUGUGCAGUAUGGUGAAGAUACAAUGGAAACAUUCUAUUUGCCGUCAUUUUCACUUGAGCAAUUAAGCCUAAUUUUUCAUCGUGGAUUCGGAAAACUCCUUCCUUGAUAGAGAUCUCAUACCCCUUUUCUUGUAACUGGCCAACACUGAAAAGGUUAGUUUUCAGUUCAGGAACGAAUAGAACAUUUGAGAAAGAAUGAGAACUUUCCUUGGUUUGGAUUGCAACCUUUCCUUUCCCCAUGACAGAAACUGUGGAGUCAUCACCAAAUUUUACAGUAUUUCGAAAAGUUUCAUCCAAGUCAGAAAAAGCAGAUUUAUCCCCACACAUAUGAUUGUUGCAACCGGUAUCUAAGUACCAUAGAUUUUGGUGACCUUCCUCCUUUGUAUGACAUGCCAUAAGAAGGGAAAUUUCUUCUUCCUCAUUUUCUGCAAAGUUAGAUUUCUCGCCACGAUUCUUAUUUAAAUUAGUACGGCACUCGGAGCAGUAAUGAUCGUACUUCUGACAACAGAAGCAUUUAACAUCCGAUUUGUCUUUAGACUUUGGUUUAUGUCCUGUCGAAUUCUGACCAUCAUAAUCCUUUCCUUUUCCUUGAGAAUCACCAACCUUUUCUUCUAAUCUGUUCUGCCCAUUCUUGCCUUUCCAGCCUCCUUUACCCCCUCCAGUUGGUUUGAGAUUUGCUGCUGCCUGUAAUGCAUGUUCUUCCUUAUCCUGUCGGAUUACUUUCUGCUCAUGGACUAGUAAAGUGCUUUCCAAUUCAUCAAUCGAAAGUGUGUCAAUAUCCCUUGAUUCCUCAAUCGCACAAACAAUAUAGUUAAAUUUUGCCGUUAAAGAUCGAAGAAUCUUCUCAAUUAUGAUAACAUCCUCGAGCUGUUCGCCAUGAAUUCAUCUCUUAUUUGCGAUUGCCAUUGUCCUUGCAAAGUAUGCUGAGACCGACUCUCCCAUCUUCAUUCGUAGAGAUUCAAAUUCAACUCGAAGUGUCUGGAGGUGUACUUGCUUCGCCCUUGCUGUCCCUUGGUACUUCUUUUUCAAGGAAUCCCAAAUUUGUUUGGAGGAGUCUUUGUUAAGAAUUGUUUCCAAGAUUGAGCAAUCAAUAGCUUGGAACAAGUAAUUCUUUGCCUUGAGAUCCUUUAAUCGUUUCCCUUCAAGCACUAUUUUCUGAGCAUCCGUCAAAACUACACCGGCUGGUGGUUCAGUUAUUCUAGUUGAAACAACCUGCCAAUACUCCUUGGACCUUAAGAAACUCUCCAUCAACAUGCUCCAAUGGUCAUAGUGACCAUCAAAGCGGGGAAUUGCAGGUUGAACAAAAUUCUCAGAAGCCAUGAAUUUCUGCUGCUGCAACACGAGUGAAAAAAGAGCCAAGUAAGCUGUUGUUACUAACUCUGUCAAUCCCACUUUUCUAAUUCAAGCUCUGAUACCACUGUUAUAAGUGAAUAUGAAAUAGUUCACUCAAAGCAAGGAUACAUGGAUGAAAGUACUACACAUUUUAUUCACAAUGAGGUUGCCUUUUAUAGGCGUUACAUGAACAAACUUAACGAAAUAAUAGCAUCCAUUAUUCAACAAAAUAUUACAGCCACUUUCCAGUAACUAUAGCCUAAAGACUAGGUAAACACAAUCUUGCAAAUAACAUUACCAACAAACUUUCUAAAGACUAGGACCAUAAAAGCAACUUAUUGACACAAGGAAAUUCCAACAAUAAUUCAUUGAAUGAUUUGUCUUAAUUAUAUAUCAAUUUACUAAUGUAAUUUGACUACAUUGAGCUGGAUAACAUAUGAGAUUUAAUUAACCUUGAAAUGACUGUUAGACUUAUUAAAUCUCAUAGGCAUUGAUUUUACUGUAAUCUUAAUCUUGAGUUAGUUAUGAUUUCAUAAUUGUAAUUGUUAUUCCAUUUGAGUUACCAAUGGGCACGACACACAAUUAUGGUCAAGAUUACCCGGUAUCUUGGUGGGAGCAAUUAUGAGUAUUGGAGUUAUAGAUUAACAAUAUAGAAUUUGUAUGACGCAUCUCUUGAUGGGUUUUUGGCACUUAAUCAUAAAAUUCUCUGGCCAGAGUGUGUCAACAUAUUUAGUAUGUUGAAAAUGAUCAUUAGAGAAAACCAGUAAGUAUGAAAGAACAAGAUGUAAUUAAAUUGAUUGGACAGUUGAGAUAUCAAUUUAAUUAACGAUGUGGUACAAAGGAUUGAGUAGUAAAGAAAUCAGUGUGGCUUGGGACGAAUUAUUAUUCGAACAUACAAUUAUGGAGGUCAGUUCCAAUCUUAUAGUGGAGUAGAGUUGGAAUUAAAUAAUUAGGCUUAUUUAAUUACAGGCUUAAUUUUUGUAGCCACUAUUGUAUAUUCUCAAAUGAUCCCUGGGUUAGCUCAUUUAAUUGACUGCAUCGCUACUGGAUUAAUAAGUAAGAUAACUAACUAUUUAGGUUAAAAGCCUAAAUAUAUUAUUUAGUGGGAGACUCCAUUAAUAUGCUUGAGUGUAAGGGGCCUUAUGUUAUUUUACAAGGUGGACCCCUAUAACACAUGAACAAGUAACGUGACUUUUGUUUUAAUUAUUUUUUAAUUUAAAUAAAAUGGGAUUUAAUAGAAUUAAUAAAUAAAGAAAUAUUGAGCCUAGGGUUUCCACUAAAUAGAGAUAUAAAAAGGCUUAUUUUCUCAACAAAAAAAAAAUAGACAGAGGUCACAUUAUACAAAUAAGAGAAAAUGAUUUUCUCUCUAAUUUUGAGAGAAAAAUUUUCUCGUGCUAGUUGCUUUAGUAGUGAUAAAGGCGCCCACACGUCAAGUGUAGAUCAAACCUGAGUUAUAGCCUGAAAGAUUAUUUGGUGGCGGAUCGUGAUCUAACAGGAGUAGUGGGGACGGAUCGUGGUCUGGGAGCCUAAAUCACUUUAGUGGAAAAAGAAAAGAUUGUUCAUCUUCUCAAAUUUUCAAGGUACGAUUUCUAGAUUACAAAUUCUUAUAUAUUGUAUGAGAUCGAUCCUAAAAGUUUUUUUUAAAAAAAAACUGCUUUUUUCCACAACAAUAAUUAGCCACCGGUGUCUCGUCUGUCCAUGUGAGUUUUUACUUGUUUAAUUUGCUUGUGGGAAGCUUAUGUAAUCAAAGAACAAGUUGUGAUUGUGUUUUGUUGCGUUGCUAGUGGUUCAGUAAUUGGGACUACUUUGAUUAUGUUUUGGUAAUAGAUUUUACUAGUUUACUAGUGUUUCAGUAGGAUUUUUCUUUUUUUAAAUUAUUAACUUAUGCAUCUAUUGAAAUCUGAACUCAAAACUUAAGCCCCAAAGAAAUUGCUUGUUACCGUUGGAAUUAGACUUGACUUUCGUAGUUUAUUAAUCAACUUGCUUACUAGGUAGCCUUGCCGUAUGAUAUGGUUUGCUAUCUUAUGGGUAGUGAUGUUUCCCUUGCAAUACCCCUCGCAUCUGUGUAAGGACAUCCAUCUAAUUUUGUUGAUAUUUUUGGAAGUUAAACUUUCAUCCUUAAUUUGAAUGAUUGAAAGAUAAUAUAUAAUUUUAGCCUCGGUUGAUUCAAAAACGGUAGAUUUAAAAGAGAGAUUGAUUCAAAAAGAUUAAAUUAAACGUUCAAAAUAAUUUAUAAAAAAUGCAAGAUAUCCGCAAACUGUCUAAAAUACUAUCCUUUAAUCAAUAAUAUUUUAAAUAAGGAGAUUAUGGGUGGACCAAAAAUCCAUGUACCAAGCCCAAGCAAACGCGCAGAUUUAACAACCCGUUUGGAGCAGCGGCGUUACCAAAUUAUUUAUAGGUUUGGGUUCGGUUACAAAAACUCAACCACAAAAAUAAAUUUAUGUUCACUUAAAUUUCUAUAAAAAUCUUCUAAAACCCCUUUAUAAUUGUCUCCUUCUUUAAAAUUACCGUAUAGGACAAAAUUAUAUCUCAUUAAACCCACCGUAAACAAUUCUUUCACCGACAAUUUUUCUCCUGUACGUAUGUACUUCUGUUAUCUUAGAGUUUAUACGAAAAUUAUUGAAACCUCAAAAUACAACUACAGAAAAAUCUCAAAAGCCGGUAACAACCCUGUUAAAAAUCAAAAUAAUGAUCAUGUUAGAAGACCAUUCCCUGUCAAAUUCCAUUGAAAAUUGAGUGCAUAUAUGACUUAGGCAAAAUAGAGAAAAAAAAAUCAGUUUGAGCUUUAAAAUUGUUGUAAACUGGGUAGUCAAAGGAGUGCCAAUAGUCCAACUCAGUUCAUAUUCAUUUAAAUCUGAGAUGAAGAAAUAAACACCACAAAAUAAACUUAAAUGUUGGAAACUAAUUCUAACCCAACCUGAAUAGAUUUUUAUUGGAAUUUUUUUGGUUUAAGUUACUCAAUAGUUUUAGAGUGGAGCUUCUAACAUCCCAUUAAAACUCAUAAGAAACACUACUUAUUCAUUUUUAUAUCUCUUUUUUUAUGAAAUUACAAAAAAGUCCAUAGAAUUACAAUAGAGUUUUAAUUAAACUUCACUAUCAUUUUAGACAUACUUUUUCAUAAUAAAAUUAUUAUUAUUAAGUAAUUUAUUUCCUCAUUAUCACAAAAUUAUUUUUGACUUUAUCAAACAAAUAAGGUUAAAAAAAUAGUUAGGGGUUUAUGAUUUAUAAAGACAUUUUAGUUUAAUUAAAUUCUUAUUUUUUUCUUUUGGUAAUUUCGAAGAAUAUUAAAGGGGUGUGAAAAACAGUACUCAUAAUUGAAUUAGAUCAAAACUUUCUCAACCCAAAUACGUUUGGAUUUGAUUGGGUUAAUCCCAACAUUCACUCACCCCUAAAAUGGCUUUAUAUAUAGUCAUUAUUACGAAAAAUAUAAUCAUAGCGUCAACUCUUAAGUAAACUUUUUGGUUGAGAGAGGCGUAGAUCACUAAACAUGUAUUAGUAGUCAAAAUUAGAAGAGGAACUUUAUCUAGAUUACUACAUUUACCAAAUAAUAUUAUAAAAUGUAAAAGUUUUAAUGGGGUGUAUUAAACGGGGUGUACCCCAUCACUAUCUUAAGAAUGGUGAUUUUGAUCCCUUAUUAUAUCUCACAAGCCCCCCAUUUUUCAGUUAAUUCCAUUAAAAAUUUUAAACAAAUCUUUAUCUCUCAAUAUACCUUACCUAAUCUCUAAUUUACCUUUAUUUUAAUUUUUUUUCAUACACCCAUUGUAUAAAUUUUAUAAAAUCAUUUCUUAAAAAAAAAUCUCAUAAUCAUUGCAAUUUCUCAACUUUUUUUUUAAGGUUUUAUCCACCACUUAAGAUUUGAUAGUUCCACCAAGAAUUGGAGCAAAGAACCAUGCCGAGUCGGCCCUGAAUAACCUUAGUAUCGUGCUAAGCCUAUCAAGCCAAAGUUGAGUGAAGGAAUACAAGAAUUUGGCCGAGGGGUUUGACGUGAUAAAGAUAGAGAUUUUUUAUUAUUAUAAUUGAUUUGGAGCUAAAAAGGGGAUUCUUGAUUUCCUUUUGUGUGCAUCCCAAUCUUGUAUUCAAGUUUAUCUGUUCAUGGACCAGAAUGCAUUGCAUUUGGAAAGUGUUUGCAAUUGUACAGUGAUAUUACUUGGACAGUAAUUUGGCGUUGCAAUGCAUUUACAGAACGAAUGAAAAUUUGGAAUCGCGAUGAAAAAUGUUGUCAGGUAUCUAUCUGAGAAUGAAAGCACUCGUUGUCAGUCUCUAUGAGAUUGCAGUAUAAAAUUUUACAUUGUUCUUCAAUAUUUUGAAUAGAAUGCCUUACUUUGAAUGGAAUGGCUCAGUUUAAAAAGUUAGAAGAAAUUAGAGUUUAAGAAAUUAGAUUCGCUUAAUUAGUUAUUAAUAGAAAUUUUUAUGCCGGUGCACUUAAAAAUUAUUUAUUAUUUUAAGUUAUUUCACAUGAGGAUAAAAUAGGUAUUAACAUAAAAGUUAUUAGUGUGGGUUGAUAAGAUAUAAUGAGAGAUUUAAACAUCACCACUCUACUCAUGGAGAAGCUCCAAAAACGAUCUCAUUGGUCGAAAAAGGCCAGACCCAUUGAACGAGGACCCUUAAAAUUUGAUCCUAGCUUGACCCAUACGAUAGGUUGAAUAGGUUAGUCCUUUACACAAUCAAAAUAAACUUGUGAGUAGGGGUGGGAAAAUAACCCAAUCUGAUUCAACCAAAAAACUUGAGUUCAGAUCGGAUGUAGAUCAAUUUCUCAAUCCAAUCAGGUAGGAAUUUAUCCAAAUCGAUCCGAAAAUACACACAAUUAAAUAAUAUUAUUUGAAAUUUUUUAUCCAUUCCAAAUAUAAUUCGGAUUCAAUUAUAAGUCUGGAUUACUUUUUUCCUAACUCGAUUAACCGGAACUCGAACCCGAUCCGAAUAUGAAUUUGCCGACCCCUACUUAUUAUCGUUUACACAUUACAUUUGUGACUAUCAUUUUCAAACUAAAAUUUUCUCUUGAUGCGAAUAAGAAAAAAAAAACAUAGAGUAAAUUUCGUUUAAAAAAUGAGGCACCAUAGAUGGACCGUACAUAUGGUACAGCUAGCUGAAAUGGAAGUAGCCUUGUGAGAGCUGCCUAUUUUGGAUUCAGGAUGAAAUAUUUAAGAAGCAAGCAAGUAAAUAAAUCAAGAAAAUAAUAUUCGGCCACCCUCAUUCCAGAGGGAAGCCAAAAACGACAUACUUAUGUGCCGUUUUAAAGUUUUAGAUUUGAAAAUUAAAAAUAAAUUUUACCAUUAAAAAAUAAUAAAAGCUAAUCAAAAGAAAUUAAAAAAUCUAAAUUCUUAUCCCUCCCCUCGCUCACCCCCUCUCUUUGACUCACCCCGCUCUGUCCCUCUCACUCUCACCCACGAAGCUCGUUCCCCUCUCACUCACCCACAAGCUCGCUGUCAAUAUUUUUCUCAGAUCUCAGUUAACGCAUCAUCAAAACCGCAACCAUGACGCUAGGCUGAGGAGGAUCCAGUGUCGUGGGUCAGUUUCUUGUCUGAUCUUGCCAUUUUUUGUUCAAUCUAUUUAUGCCCUGGAUUGAUUUAUUCUCUUUGUUUUGUUGUAUUUCUUGUUCUGGCAAAAUCUAUUUGUCUAAGUCACAUACAGGUCGUAGCCGUUGCUUUUAUUAUUUUAUAAUUUUUUUGGGUGGUUUUGUGUAGUCUUAUGAACUUUCUUUUUGGCAUAAAUGCAUCUGGGUUGCUACGUGCCUACGUUUGAUUGUUAAUUAGACCUGAUCCGUAAUUCUAUGCGUUUUUUGCAUUUUUGAUUGCGAAAUUAAGUUAAUUUAGUUUAAUAUGAUUACAUUAUUGUCACCUAAAAUUAGUAUAUUUAAUCAGUUAAAGAAAUUCUUUUGACACGGACUUUAUGAAACCUUGUAUGUGAUACUUUUCUUAGCAAAGUACUUGGAUUUUGGAUUUUUUUUAUUUAUAUUUUAAAAUUACUAGAAAUAAGUUAUUUGAAGUGUGAUACUUUGUGAAAUGUUAAAGCUUACGGUUUGGUUGUAAUUCUGUUUUUGCUUAUAUAUGUUUACGUCUGUUGGCAUUCUUUUUUUUUUGGUAUUUGAAGUUUGCAUAUAUGGUGUGUAUUAAGAUUUUCAAGUGGUUCUUCAAACAUAUUCUGGGUAGUUUGAUAUAUCACAUGUUUCUGUGAAUUCUUUAGUUGAGGCAAUUGUCUUUGCUCUUAGCUGCAUUAUUAAGUUCUUUACCACAUAGAAUUCCCUAAUUUUCUUCUGCUAAUCCAGUAAUUGCAGCUUCAUUGUAAGGUUCUUCAUUUUCUAUAAAGCAUAUAUUGCUUCAUCAACCCUCCUCUAAAUAUGUUGCAAAUAUGUAUUUGAUUCAUUCCAAUCUUACAGAUCAUUGUUGGAUGCCGAAUCAGCAUACAAUGCUUACAAUUGUGAGAGAAAAAUGAACAACCAAUUGCCCGGUUCAGUUACGCUUUAAGCUAGGAAGAUUGACGUAGAAACAUUUGUUUAAGUGUAAUUACCUAGGUAGGUGAAAAAGGUCCAAAAUCGUCAAGCACACUGUCAACUAAGGCUGGUCGGCGACGUGAACGGCGUGAUAGCGAUGUCGGUGAUGGGCUGGUCGGCGAUGGGCGUGGCGUGACAACAAGUUUCGUGGGUGAGUAACAGCCUGAGAGAAAUAGCUCGCAAGUGGGUGAGUGAGAGAGGCAGAUCGGGUGAGUGAGAGAGACAGAGCUGGUGAGUGAGAGGGAAGGUGAAUGAGAGAGAGACAGAGCAAGCGAGUGAGAGGGACGGGUAAGAAUUUUGGAUUUUUCAAAUUCUUUAGAUUUAAUUUUAAUAUUUUUCAAUGGUAAAAUCUAUUUUUAAUUUUCAAAUUUAAAACUUCGAAACGGCAGAGGAAGCAUGCGUUUCUGGCUUCGUUAUGGUCUCGUGGUGGCCGAAUAUCAUUGCCCAGUAAAUCAUGAUUCUUCGAGAGACCGAGCAACCGCUUGUGAAAACCCUUAGACUAAGUCCUAACAACCCUUAGACUAAGUCCAGCACUUACCAUACUGUGUCCUAUAUAAUUGAAACGUAAAUAGAUUAUUGACAGCAAAACAAAAUAAUAACUUAAUAUAAUGACGUGUAACAAUGUACAUUUUUUAUUUUUUAUUUUUGUCAAUUAUGCGUUAGUGUUUGAUGCCCUUGUUUCAAAAAUAAAUAAAAAUUGAUGCACAUGUACCGCAAUGUCAGUUCUGAGGGAGCUGUGACGAGUAAUGAUUAAACUAUUAAUUAUUAAAUAUAGCAAGUAAAUUUUGAUGCCAUCAUUUUAAAAAAUUAAUAAAAAAAUAAACAAAUUGAUAUUCAUGUGCAUGUCUAAUGCUUUAUUUAUAUAAGAUUAAAAUUCUCUUUUCAUCUGGGUUUUUAUUUGAGCAAAUACAAUUAUUGGUAGUUAACAUAUAGAAGCACAAUUAAAAAAUAUAUCUUGACCGUGCUCACGUACACGUUGAAAGAAUUAAAGAAAAGGAGCCCUCUAAAUUCUGUUUGUUUGAUAAGAAAAUGAAUAGAAAAUUUUAUUGAUUCAAAGAGAAAAUUUGUUCGCUGGAUUUUUAUUUGUAAGUCUUACUAAUGAAUUGAGAGUACAUUGAUAAAUAUAGCUGUGUGUGGAAACUUCUACUGCAACAAACUCGUGUCCACAUUUCCAGCGCGCUAACUAUAACAACCUACUGACUAAGUUUGGAAGGAAAUAACAACUUGUUUAACUGUUUUACAACUUGGCUGCUGACUCAUCAUUACACUGAAAACCCCAGCUGACUUCAACUGCUGACUUAGCAUUUAUUCUUAACAGAAAGAUAAUGAUAAAAAGUUGCUUCAGAAUUCGUGGGCACGCACGCACGCUACUUGUAGAACUCCAUAACCCAUAAGUUGUAAAAAAAGCAUACAAAUCUGAUGCCACUAAAUCCAGCUUCAGUAGCCAAGGUCGUGAAUUCAUGCUUUGUUCGCUCCUUUCCUCCCGGAUAUUGAGUCAUCACCAGCACAUCAGCUAGGGAAUUUAUUUUUGAAUGAGUGCUAGUCUCAGGCAGUUCUGGAAGUACUGACUCCACAACAAUUACCUUCCCUCCUUCGGGAAUACUUUUGUAGCAAUUCUUCAAUAACUUCAAGCAAUGUUCAUCGCUCCAAUCGUGCAGUAUCCACUACAAAAUUUGAAAUAUUAUGAAAUUUGUUCAGGGAUCGAACACCUAAUACCUGCAAAUUAAAUUCAAAUGAAACUUACCUUGAUCAAAAUGGCGUCGCCAUUUGGAACACUUUGAAACAUGUCACCCCCUACAUGCUUAACACCUGUACUACAUACAAUUUAGUUUCCGCUGUUAGGAUCUAGCGGUAUGGGCAGAGAAUUCAUAAGAUAACUGAUAUUCGGGAAAAGAAUUUAGAUAAAAUUCUGACAAAAACAACAAUAAAUCAACCCUGAUUUUUUCACUAAAUUGCAAUAUAUGGUAAAUCGAGUCUGUUUUGAUGUUUUUUGUCAGUUUUUUCUUGUUGCAACAUUUUGUGCUUUUACCCUUUUUUUCCAAAUGAUAAUGUAUAUUUCUUCACAACAAUGACAUUAAAAAAAAAAAAAAAGAGAUUGGAAUCAAUUUUCUAAUUAACUUCCUACUUUCUCCAGGAUUUAUAUUGGGAUGAUUAAUUAAAGAAAGCUACUUAAAAGCCACUUGACCAAGUCCCUAACAUUAUUAUAAAGAUAAUUGAUAGUUCAUACCAGGAUACUCAGGGGAAUGCUGUAUAACGUGAGGCAAGUCGAAAUUGAUGCCCUUAAUGUGGGGGUACUUGGAAGUAAUUGCUUUAAGGGUAUUGCCAAGGGAACCGCCAACAUCAACCAAUUGCUUUAUGUGCUCGAAACCCUUGUAAGCCUCAAGGAUUUUCUGAAGGACCAAAGUGGUAUGGUUGAACAUCGCUGUGCUGAAAACUUCAUUGAACCUGGGGUCCAAUCCUAGGUACUCGAAAGCGUUCGUUCCGUGGACUCGGUCAAAUGGAACUCCUCCUUCAAUAAUAGUUUCUUUCAGUUGGGACCUACAUGACCAGUUAAUCAAUCAUCAUUUUGCGUUUGGCCUAACUUUUUUAGAUACAAUGGUUAGUGGUUGAUAAAAACAAAAAUAAUAAAGGGAUAUAUCUAUAUUAUAUAUAUGACGAUGUAUACGUUUCAUAAAAUCCCUUAACAGAUAAGAUGAGUAGAGGAUUCAUUGCCAUUAAAAAUUUUAUGUUAUAUCUUAACUCAUAACUGUCACAUACAUCUUUAUGAAAACGAGAAAAAAAAUGGAAAUCAGGGUAAUAUUAUCAUACGGGUGGGUUGCUAAAUUUUAGCAACGUCACAAAUUAGGAGAUAUGUAGUUUGUAGGACUUUUACAUAUAGCUAGGUCCUGCUGUUAUUUUUUUUUCCUUAAAAGAUUUUAUUUCUAAUUCUCUCCAGGCAAGUGAUCAUACCACCCCAAGUGAAUCUUUUAAUUCAGCGAAAUUCUACGGACGAAGUUAAGAAAUUUUUGUUCUUCCAGGAUUUCUGUCAGAACUGAAGAAACUACUCAAUUAAUGCUUUCAAUAGAACAAAAUACAUUGUCUUUUUCAUAUAUGUUACACUCAUGUCCUCUAUAAUUAAAAGACAAAAAUACCUCGGAAAGAAAACAUAUUUCCUCAUAUCUUCUGUAGCUGCAAGUAAUUAAAACACCACCAACAAUAGUUUACUCGUUCUUGAAUUGAUAUGACUAGAAGUAUAUUUAAUAAUGAUUUAUAAGUUUGACAGUGAACCUUCUACAUUUUAUCGCUCACUUAUAUGAACACGUUUGUUUUUCUUUUUCGAUGACCUGAGUUUAGAAAUAAGUUGAGUAUGAAGUCGAUUAUGAUUUAAGACUUGGGAGAAAUGCAUGAUUGGAUCUGAAGGCGUAGAAAGAGAAUUGUAUUAUAAACCCAUGUAUUUUUACCCUAAUUAACUUAAAAAAAGAAAAAUUCAGAGGAUUAAAAUGAUAGAGUGGACAAACCAGCUGUCGAGAAAGGCCUCGUCCUGAAUUAAGGCCAAUACAGGGCCUAAUGAGACACCAUCUUGAUUAGGCACAAAGUAUUUGGAAACAUCAUUCAAACCGUAUAGCCUGUGAGAACCAUCUACAUCAUCAAGUGAGCAUUCAACAAUACCAUAGCUAGCCAGAAGCCCGAGUAUCCGGUCCAGCAUCGUGGGUGCGUCUUUGUUCUUGGUGGCGGGCAACUGAGCGGCAAUCUCUGAAGCUGAGAGCUUUGCUCCAGGACCAGCUUUGGCUAUGAUCUCCAAAAGUCCCAGCUUAAUUACUGCUUUCAUGGUCAUGUGGAGCACUGAACCCGUCAUCACUUCACAGGCAUAUGCAAAGUUUUCGUCUCUCGCUUCAUUAGCCAUAUUUUCUUGAAUUUCCUUAUCUGUUUUCCUCAGAAACAAUGCAUUUAUAGUGGAGUGAAGAGUUACUGUGUGUCCAAGAUUUUAGGUUGUAAAAUCUGACCCGGAAGUUUUCGAUAGUUCAAGUUAGACUAAAUGACAGAAAUUAAAUUAUGAUAAAACUUUUUCAAAGAUAAAAGUAUGGAAGCUUGGCAACUCUAAAAAAAUUAUAUUAUUAGGGAUAAAAACUUUAUUUAAUUUGCAUAAAUUGAAAUGACAUAUUGCAUGAUUCUACAUGUCUCAUAUUAUUUCUUUUAUUUUGUCGACUUUAAAAAAUCUGAACGGCCAACCUCUUCGAAAAUGUAUUCAAUAGUUUUUUAUAGCGAUGUAUUGUUCAAUAGUUUUUUAUAGCGAUGUAUUGGAAGUAAUUUAAAAGAUCAAACAUUUCAAAUGAGAUCCUAUUAUCAAACAAGAGGAAUUCUAAAAUAUAUCGGAGGUAUUAUGUCAGUUACACAAUAAGUCAAUAAUAUUAUGGAAUGUGUGCAUUUAUUUGAAAAAUUACCAUGCAAGUGGUAGUUAUAUUAAAUCCAAUUACACACGUCACAUAUACAUUGAUUAGUUGUAUUACCCUGAUUUAUUCUAAACUUUAUCGUCAAACAGAGAGCUUUUAGUUGAAAUGAGGAACUAUAAUUAUUUCCUGACAUAAGUUUUUCCUUUGAUUAUAAUAUAUUAACAUUUCAUGUGAGGAAAUAUUAGUUUAACAUUUUUUUUCCUAUUAUAACAUGUUCUAAAAAAGGAUUAUAAUUCUUAAUUAGUUUUUUUUCUCAUCUAGUCUUUUUUGCCAUGCAAAAUUGGAUUGGAUUAAUUAUUAGAAUAAGACUGAAUUAGAUUACUUGGAUAAAGUCGGAUUAUAUUAUACUGUCUUAUGUUUGGUGUAGUACGAGAUUGAACUAUGUUAAAUUAUAUUUCAAUGAUAUAAAUAGCAUUUAAGUUGAUAUUUGAAUAUGAACAUCAAUUAUUCAUGAAAUUUUAUAACAAUAAGGAAACAAAUUUAAAAAGCAAUUAAUUAAAAAAUUAAGUAUAUUGUAAAUAAGUUAUUAGGUAGUCAUAAUAUAAUCAACAAAUGAAAAAGAAAUAAAAAUUUUAAAUAUUUAAUUAAUUUUUAUCAAAUAUUUAAAAAAAUUAUAUAAAAUCAAUUAAUUCUGGUAUUUUUAAUUUUCAUGAUUAUUUUUUAAAUUAUAUUAGUGAUUAUUAAAUUUUAUACAAUCACUAAUGCAAUAAGUUAUUAAAUGGUUAAUUUAUAAAUUAUUAAAUAUACAAGUAAUGAAAAUUUAAUCUCAAGAGUUAUUAGAAGUAAAAUUGUCAAUUUAAUUAGAUCAUAUAUAAUAAAUAAAAAUCUUAAGUAAAUCAAAUAAAAAUCUUAAGUAAAUCAUAAAUAAAAAUUAAUUGAUUAAUUAAUAUUAACAGAUAAUUUUUCUUUAAUUUUAUCCAACUAAACAAAUAUGUAAAUUAGGAUUACUAAUCCGAUGAUUUUAGGAUUAAAUUCAAAUUUAGUCUCCUUUAAUUCAAUUCAAAUAAAUUUAUCAAAUAUAAAAUAAAUAUUUAAUUUUAGAAUUAGUGCAAUUCAAUACUUAAUCCUACAUCCAAACAUGGUCUCAGUUGUCAUAAAGGUAACUUAGAAAGAGUCGUAACCGAAAACAUUUAUAAAGCCAUUUUUUCUUUUAAUUUUCAGGUUCAUAUAUAUAUAUAUAUAUAUAUAUAUAUAUAAUCUUUCUGCCAAUGAAGCGCCUGCCAAUCAGAGAAGUUAAUUUUUUAAUAUAUUUUUCGACGCCGGCCCCGCCCCUGAUCUUAUAGCUUUGACUCCAGAUGAAUGAGGCUUUUCAUUCAUGUUAUUCUUUGAAAGAUCGUGAUUCCAAAGGCUGCUGACAAAAGAAGAUUCUUGAGGCUGCCAAUCAUGGCCAUCGCUGCAUAAAUAUAUAUAUAUUAAAUCAAACAGGAGUGCGGUUACUUUAUACGUACAACUUGGGUUCUUGCCUUGCUGCCGUCAUGGAGAAUUAAUGCCACUGGUCAACGGUGAAUCAAUGGCCAUCGGGCACCAAAUUCAUGACCAAUCAAUGGCCAACAAGCACCAAAUUAAUGCCAAGCACACCAACAACCACCGAUUAAAUGGCAAGUUUAGUGUUUUAAAGUUUAGAAUAUGGAGAAGGACUUGCUACUGUAUCCAGGUAUUAAAUCAUCAAAAACCAAUUUGGUUUGGACUCUUCAAUUUCAAUUUGACUUCUACACCAACACCACACAACAACUCAACAACCGAAUCACUCGUCCUAAUAGCAUAGCAAUCCAGUCGUCGGUUGCCCGCACGUGAGAGACUAUUUUCUUAUUCGUGCUCGGAAUUGUUGAAUUAAUUUUACAAUUCUCUUGUACCAAUUUUCAUCAUAUAUGCUCCCUCAAGAAGUGAAGAUCGAUGUCGGAAUCACUUUAAUUUAGUUUCAAUUACAUGAUGUUUGGGAUCUUCUUAUACCAAUUUCGGUCUACAAUUGCCUCAAGUAUCUAUGUCCGUCAAAUCUUAUUUGUAUUAAAGCAACCGCUUAAACCGUUAACCUGUUUGAUUUAAAAAACAAAUAUUUGGAGCUGUUAGAUUGAACUCGUGUAAAUUAGGAUUACUAAUCCGAUAAUUUUAAAAUUAAAUUCAAAUUUAGUUUCCUUUAAUUCAAUUCAAGUAAAUUUAUUAAAUAUGAAAUAAAUAUUUAAUCUUAAAAUUAAUCCAAUUGGAUACUUAAUCCUGACAUCCAGACAAGGCCUUAUUUGCCUUAAAGGCAACUUAAAAAGAGGUGUGACCAAAAACGUUUAUAAAGCCAUUUUGUUUUUCGGGUUCAUAUAUAUAUAUAUAUAUAUAUAUAUAUAAUCUUUAUGCCAAUGAAGCGCCCAUCAAUCAGCGAAGUUAAUUUUUUUUUAAUUUCUUUUUCGACUGUGAUUCCGGAGGCUGCUGUCAAGACAAGAUUCCAGAGGAUGCUGAUAAGACAAAUUCAAAUUGACCUUUUUAAUAAUUAUUAUCUUUUCUAAGGUUUAAAAUUUUAUGUGUAACGUACAGCUAAUGUGAUGUAAGUUUUACCUGAUGUAUGAGUUGAUGAACCAUCAUGGUGAAAUCAAAAUACAAAAAUAAUAGAGGUCAAUAACGGCAUUCAAAAGAAAAGAAAAAUUAAAACACAAAGAAAAUAAGGCCGUUGGAUUCGUUUUUUCAAUUUUUUUUCUGAAUAUUAAUACGUUACAAUGAAAGAACUUGCUAAUAUUUUCCAUAUUGAUCAGGAUAAAAAGAUUGUUGAUACAAUCAUACGUCAAUUUUGUAAUAUUAUAGUACAAUUCAAAAGUUUUAUUUUAUUUUAAAAUAUAUUUAUCCUACAUAUUUAUAAAAGAUAUUGUAAAAGAAUUAAAUUAAUUAAGAUUAAAUCUUCCUGCAAUCAUACUUGUUCAAGCUUCAAGUGUUCUCUACAUUCACUAAAUUUUAUAAAAGUAUCUUCUUACUUUUUCUACUCUAUAGCCUUUCUCUUGUGAUGGAAAAUAAAUUCUUAACAAGCAUAGACUUGGAUAGGCUAGAAACCCUUUUUAUAACAAUAUUUCAUAACUUAGAAGACUUUACACUUCCUCCAUCAAAGAAGUGAAUUUAAUAACCUUUAGCACUUCGAUUAUGAAAAUGAUUAGUAAACUAUAAUGCUAUCCCUUGAAAUAAAUAAGUAGGUUAUUAAUAUAAGUUUAUCUAUUUAUUUAAAAAAAAUCACUUAUCAUGUGGACUAUAUAAUGAAACUUUGUGGAGAUAUAUCUACCCACAUUUAACUAUAUAAUGAGAUAUGAAAUUAGAGGUCCAAGGAGUAGUACUCAAAUCUACAACCUCAAAAGUUGAGGUCGUGGCAGGCAAAAGAAAAAGGAGAACCACGUGUUGCUGGAAAAGGAACUUACAUGAGUAACUGCAAAUUAAGCAAACACUAAAUUUUUCCCUCUUUAUAUGAUAAAAUCGGAAUGUGUAUAAAAAAUAAACAAGCAAAAAAUAAAACCAACACAAUUGAAAACAAUAAAUCAACCAUAAGAGAUACAAAUUAUUUUAUGUGGAAAACUCAAAUCGAGAAAAAACCACAGGACCAUACAGGGGCGGAUGCAUCAUAAGACCAGUGGGGACUUGAGCCCCCACUAGGCAAAAAAAAAAUUCUAAAAUUGAAAGAGAAAAAUAUUUUCGUUUUCUAAUUAACCCCCAUUAAUUUAUUAAAAUAGUCACUAUAAAUUAUAAAACCCUAUAAAAUUUAAACUUUAACUUUUAAAAAUUAUAAAAACUUAUAUUUUAAUUAAAAAUAAUAAUAGCCCACCACCCAAAAUAUUUUAUAUUCUUAAAAAUAGGAUUAAUUCUUCAAGUUUCUAUAAUAAUAGUAGAGCGAACGUUUUCAGUAAUGAAACUCAUGAAGAAUCAUCUUUGGAAUCGGAUGGGAUAAAUGAUAGUUUUGUUGUUUAUAUAGAAAACAAUAAAUUUAAUAAUAUUGAUAAUGAGUUUAUUGCAUAACAUUUUUAAAAUAUGAAAAUGCAUAGAGAAUAAUUAUAAAUGUAUUAGCAAAUAAUUUAUAUAUUCAAAAUUUUAGUUUUUCAUAUUUUACUACUAUCUAAUUUAGCCCCCAGUAAAUUAUUUUUCUAGAUCCGCCACUGGGACCAUAGUCCAAUAUAACCUUCCAUUAUAUUAAUAAUGGGAUUACUACACAAAUUCUUCUCUAAAUAAUACUAGAGGCAAACAAUAUCAAGAAUCUCAACAAUCUUGCUCAUAGUAAUAGUCUAAUAUUUUUCAUUCUAACAAGUGGGUAUCUUAGAUAACAACCAAUGAGAGAAUGAAAUAAAAAUCAAGACCAGUAAGAAUGUAGAGGGCGAUGCCAGAAAUUGCCUUCCAAAUUUGGGAGAUUAAGUUUGCCUUUCGAUCGUCCAUUCAAAGAUUAAAAUCCUUACCCCCAAAUUGAGUUGGCCAUUGUCUUCUUUUUCUCUCUCAUCUUUUCUAUGUUUUUAAGGCUGCUGCUUCACUUGUCUACUUUUUCUUUUAUAGCCAGGUGAUUUUCAAAGCCAAAUUUGAUGGCAAUUUUCAAUUAGCCAUAACAUAUUUCCUUUAAUUUCUUAAACACCCAAACUAAUGGAAACUUUGGUUUGGGCCACCCAAAUGAGAUGGAUUCAACAAAUCUUCCCAUCAGAUCAUAUGGGGGGCACUACCAAGCCCGUUCUCUACUUACAGUCUUUCAGCUUCUCCUUGGGCAACGACUUUGUCAUCAUAUCUGACACAUUCUUCAUGAAUAUAGUCAGGCUACAACUAUUUCUUUUCAAGCACGUCUUGUAUUCAUUGAUAUCUCACCUUAUAUGCUUGAAUUUCGAAUGGUAUGUUAAAUUCAUUGCCAAGUGAGAGCACUUUGAUUAUCACAGUACACGACAUAGCUAUUUUGUUUCACAUCCAGCUCUUGUAAGAAAUUCUUCACCACAAAGGGUUUUAGUGAUUGCAAUAUACUCUGCUUCUAUGGUGGGGACAACAACACGAAGUUUGAAAUCCUCUUAGACUACCCCCUGCAAAGGUAAGCAAAUAUCCUGAUAGGAAUUUUCUAGGAUCAACAUCUCUUGCCAUAUAUGUUGUACACUUAUAACACAACUUGUCACCAUUAAAACAUAAACAUGUCUUGGAAGUGUUCUUUGCCUGUACUAUAAAGAAACUGACUGAGUACACCGACUGCAUGGGCAAUAUUUGGUACAAGCCAUGGCGUACAUCAGUCUGCAAAGUGUUGAAGCAUAAAAUAGUCCUUUCAUCUGCUGCUUCUCUUUCUCGCUUGUAGGAAAAUGCUUGGAACUAAACCUAAAAUGGCCCGCAAGUGGAGAACAAACAUAUUUUGCCUUGCUCAUGUUAAUUCUUUCAAGAGCACUUUCAAUAAAUGCUUCUUGAGAUAACCAUAACUUGCCAAUUUUUCUGUCAUAGGAAAUCGUCAUGCCAAGAAUGUAUUUGUCGAUCCUUGGUCUUUUAUUAUAAAUGACUUGCUAAGCUUUUUCUUUAGAUUAUCAAUCUUACUAGCAUCAUGGUCAACAAUCAACAUAUCAUCCACAUAAAGCAAAAGAAUGAUAAAAUUAUUAUCACCAAGCUUCUUUACAAAAAGACAAUGGUCAGACAUAAUCUUGCUAAAACCAUGAUUCUCAAUAAAAAAAUCAAACUUUUUGUAAUAUAGUCUUGGUGCCUAUUUCAGUCAAUACAAACUUUUCUUCAACUUGCAUACACUUUCUUUGUUGCCUUUAACAUUGAAUCAUUCAGAUUGCUCCAUGAAUAUCUCCUCCUUUUAAGUCACCAUGCAAGAAACGCAUUCUCAUAUCCUAGAGACUUUCUAUCCAUCAACAUCCAAGAUUUAUCCAUAUUUAGACUAUUAACUUUCCUACAAAUGCAUCACAUUUCAUUUGUUCAGUUUUAUUAAUAUUGGAGUUUGAUAUUGUUUCCAACUAUAAGAACAACUAUUAAAGUUACAAAAUCAACAAGAAAACAGCAGUUAAAAUACAAUAAAAAAUAACACUUAACAGCAAGAGAAAACCUAUAUCUUCAUCAUGACUAAUUAUAACACUAAUAUUAUAAGCCAUAUACCAUAAAUCAUGGAAAGAGCAAAUAAUAUAAUUUUCAAAAAAUAGAGAAAUAGAAAAAAAUAGAAGUACCUUUUGCUAUUCGUUCCAAGAAUCGCGGAGCAGGUAACAACUUAAGAGACUAAAUCACGACUAAAAAUAGAGAAGAAUAGAAGCAAGACUUGUUUUUAGAUUUCUACUGAAAAAGACAAAAUUAUUGAAAUAAAACUUGUCCACGACAAUAAACUAGCUAGCUAUUGAAAUGAUUUAAACAAUCCAUAAAUAAAGUAUUAAAUUAAGUAUGCAAAUGUCACAUGUAGCAAAACAACAUAUGCAAUAUGAUGAAAUUUCAACAGCAAAAUUGGGUGUUAAAACCGUUAAAUAAAAUCCAUUUUUCCAUUAGAGAAAUCUAAAUUUUGAGAAUUUUGGUUUAGCUUGCUUUGGUCAAACUCAGUCACUCUGCACAGUGACAAAGAAAAAGAAGCAGUUGAAACAAAAUGAGAGUGACAUUGCAUAGACUUGAUAGUGAAAUGUCAUUUUCUUGAUGCUAAUUUAUUCCGUUUCUAUUUGGAAUGAUUGAUACAAGCGGAAAGGUGUUAAAGAAUUGCUUAAAAUACUUUAUAGGGGCAAAGAGCAAUUGCAGCAGUUUAGCCAUGUCAAUAAGUAAGAACUUGACCAGUAUGUAAAGUUCACAAAGUAGCUAGAAGAACUCCCGAGAAGGCAUUAGUAGAAUGUAGCCACUAUAAAAAUUUCCACAAACAAAUUAAUUUAUAAAAAAGCAGUGGAUAAGGAGUUAAGCAUACAUUAAUUUGUUUUUGGAACAUACAGCGAAAUUUCCAUAUUGGCUACUAUUCCACUAAUGGUUUCUUUCCACAAUUCCCAAUAUUAAGAUCUAUUGAAAACUAAGCAUACAUUAAAUUGCUUGUGGAAAUUUACAUAAGUCAAUAUAACAGCAGUUGAACUGGAUGCAGUUUGGGUGGAGAAAAAUAGUUUCUGUUCCUAAUUCCCAUUAUUAUGUUCUAUUGAAAAUUAAACAUACAUUAAUUUGUUUCUGGAAAUUUACAUAAGUCAAUAUAAUAGUAGCUGAACUGGAUGCAGUUUGGGUGGAGAAGUAGUGAGCGCUGGUUUUGGUGGAGAUGUUGGAAUUAAAGAGGUACUAAAUAACUACAACUUUAAAUCAAAAGAAAGGUUUGUGCUAAUAUUUGCCAUGCAUAACUUCAACUUUAAAUCAAACUAAUGCUUACAAAUGGCAUGCAUCCAUAUCCACCACGUCGCAUACUACAUCACUCUUAUAAAUCUUUCUAAUGGAGAAAGCAACACGACAUUAUUCGCAUUUUUGUCCCUUUCUUAAUCUACUAUAUUUUGUAAGGUGCUGGAUAUUUUUCUGUUGAAAGUCCUAUCACAUCGAUUAGCGCCUUUAAAAUUAUGUUCUCGCUAUUGUUGAUAUCAAUUAUCACAUUGCACACCUUAUCUUUGAUGGUGCCACGUGUUCUGAAAUCUUACUGCACUAAUUAUCCUCUUCAAAUCUUGGUGCUAAUAAAAUCUUCUACAUAGUGUAAUUCAACAUCUCUCCUUCAUGUACCUCUAACUCUAAAGCUUCUUCAUCAUCCUCAUCCUCAACAUUAUUCAUCUCUGCUUAGCCAUAGCGUUUAUUUUCUCUCUUUCAAAUAUCAAAUAAUG
rnacentral:lncRNA from 1 species